CAGCAUCAAUCCUCUGGCUUCUAGAAGGUCGGCACAUUCCAGUCGUAAUUUUCCCAGCGCAGAGCACUGUAAACAGAAGAUACGAAUGUUGAUUUAACCACUGCGACAGAGUAGGCAGCAAAUGACACAAGCUGGACUCUACAGCCAGGCCAUCGUCUGAGAAGGGACGAGACGAUUACUCAGACACUCUGAGCCUCUCAGGAGACAAAGAGCUGAGGAUGAUCGGAUUGAAAUAUGGUUGAGAAGGACUGUCACACUUGGAAGAUCAGUCAGCAGGACCACAUCAUCCUCUCGGAUUUCCAUUAGUCUGAUUAGUCCCGAUCUUUGCUCCUCCAGUAUGGACUGAGCAACUGGAGAAUUCCAGUUUCUACUGGCUUCUGGGAAUACAGAAAAUUUCUUGCUCCCAGCAGGACAUGAGAUGAUCUUCACUCCCUCCCUCAACCCCUUCAAAAUGACACUAGAGGAAUUACAGAUGUCAUCACCAUAAUCAGAAACAAAAGGGAAUAAAAGGUGGGGGGACACUGGCAAAGAGGUUUCUGCAAAUCUGUGGCAGGCUGCAAAUGAACGGAAUAGGAACGAUUACAGCAGCAAGAAGCAGGGAGCUCUGGCCUGGAGAAAAUGGAGUCGUCUCAGCACAGAAGGGAUGGAUUUUAUCCUGCAGAAGCCCAGAGGGUAGGCUCAGGACUCCGAUGAAACUUUGGAUUCUCAGGGUAGGGGCCAGUGGCUCUGCUGUUCCCCCUAAACUGAACGUACCCAUUCACAAAGCCCCUCCAAGGACCCUGUAUUCCUAACCACCUAAAAAAAAAUUUUUUUUCCUUUAAGUAAGCUCUACACCCAAUGUGGAGUUUGUAUUCAGGAACCCUGAGAUCAACAGAUUAAGAGAGAUCAAGAGUUGAACGCUCUACCAAGGGAACCAGCCAGCUUUUUAAAUCUGGAAGGUGCUGCCAUUCUGGAAGGUGGGGGGAGGAUGUUCUGGGAGGUGGGGGGAGGACAUUCCGGGAAGUAGGGGAGGGCGGGUGAAACAGGUGAUGGGGGUAAAGGCGAGCACGUGUGACGAGCACCGGGUAUUGUAAGGAAAUGCCAACUCAUUAAAUUGUAAACCUGAAACUAUUAUUAUAUACUGUAUGCUAACUGACUGGAAAUCAAGAAAGAACUUAAAAAAAAAAACCAAAACCCACCUCAUUCUAAAUAUAUACAAUCAACAGUCACCAUACAUUAAAGAAAUGCUGCAGUAUUUAAAAAAAAAAAAAAGGACGCAAGAGGAAAGAGGUAGUUUAGGUUAGGGACUGAAUCCUCAAAGGCCCUCAAAAAUAUAUUCUAUCAAUAAAACCAGAAUAAAAUAUGAAAAAAAAAAAGAAACAGCUACUGGGACUGAAACAUGAUUGCUAAAAUGAAUCCAACAGAAGAGUUGAAGAAAUCUCUCAGAAUAAAAAGGAAAUGGUGGCAAAGAACACAGGGAAAAAAAGAGAGAGAGACAUACUAGUUAAGUUACAAGAGAAGGUCCAAAUAUGGCUAAAAGAAAUUCCAAAAAAAAGAGACUAGAGGGAAUGAUGAAGUCAAAACAAUCAGGAAUAGAACAAUUUUCCACAAAUGAAAGACAUGAGCCAUCAAUACUGAAACAGCCCUUAUAGGGUACAACACAUGAAUGCAAAACGAUCCAAAGGUAUGCAAAUUGAAAUUCUGGAACAUUAAAGAUCAGGAGGCUGAAUGCUUCCAAAGGAAAGCAAGCAGCUUUGCUGUGAAGGAACACAUUCGUGUCAGCAUCAGGCUUCUCAUCAGUAAUAGCAGGUACAACAGAAAAAAGCAGUGUUUUCGGCAAGCUAAGGCUGUGCUGCCUAAUACAGUAGCCACCACUCACACAUACCUAUUUAACUGAAAUGAAAUAAAAUUAAAAAUUCAUCUCCUCAGGUAAUCUAGCUUCAUUUCAAGCACUGGAUGGCUGCCCUGGCUAGGGGCUACCAUAUAGGAUGACGCAGAAGCAAAACAUUUCCACCAACAAGGAAGGUUCUGUUGGACAGAGUGAGGGCUCUUGUGAAAGAUAAAGUGGAGGUAAGGGCAGAGGAAAGAAACUUCAAGCCUACUCCCCAUUAAGUGUGGAGCCCGAUGCAGGAAUCGAUCCUAUGACCCAGGAGAUAAUGACCUGAGCAGAAACCAAGAGUUGGAGGCUCAAAUAACUGAGCUUCUCAGGUGCCCUGGGCAGCACUGUUCUAAAGGGAUGUGACUGCAAUUCUGAAUUUUAAACUAAGCCAAAUUAGUCAUCAAGAGUGACUAAUAUGUCUUUCAACAUAAAGACAUUUUUAGGCAAAGCAAGUGUAUCUCUUGUGU